GGAUUGGAGCUCUUACCCUGAAACCCCUUCCAACUAGCCAAGUGUAAAAAGAGCUUUUCUUCACUCCACGUUAUCUGUGAGUGUUCAGAGGGACACUAAUUUGAGUAGCGUUGAUCACGUGUGAAAGGAACAAGAUUGCAAAUACCAAGGACAGAAUUCAGAGUUUCACAGAACAUCCCGUGGUGAGGAGGAACUUGGCUGAUGGCUGUGUGGGUUUGGAUAAGCUUCUCACCAACCCCUGGACUUCAGUUUCUUCCUCUGCAUAGUAGAAAUGGAGAGCUGGCCAGAGUUGGGCAAGCAAGAGAAAAUUAGCUCAGCAGGGACAAAGACAUCUCCAGUUGAGAACCAAGAAUCUGGAGGAUGAGACUUUGAUGCACUUGCACCAGUUGACUGUUGACUACAGCACACAGGCGUGUG